rnacentral:tRNA from 1 species
GUCGGAGUGGCGGAAUAGGUAGACGCGCUAGGUUGAGGGCCUAGUGACCGAUAAGGUCGUGCGGGUUCAAGUCCCGCCUCCGACA